rnacentral:lncRNA from 1 species
UCUGCAGAAAGUCUUUCCUUUUUCAAAAUUCUUCCUGUGCCCCAAGGAAGCAGCCCAGAGUCCGUCUACACACCAGAGGAAAGCCGAGGAUGGUGAAAUACA